UACGUAGGGGGCUAGCGUUGUCCGGAAUCAUUGGGCGUAAAGAGCGUGUAGGCGGCCCGGUAAGUCCGCUGUAAAAGUCAAAGGCUCAACCUUUGAAUGUCAGUGGAUACUGCCGGGCUAGAGUCCGGAAGAGGCGAGUGGAACUCCUGGUGUAGCGGUGGAAUGCGCAGAUAUCAGGAGGAACACCGGUGGCGAAGGCGGUGGCCUGGGCCGGCACUGACGCUGAGGAGCGAAAGCGUGGGGAGCAAACAGG
rnacentral:rRNA from 1 species